AGCAGUCAAGGAAAGCCUCAACAGUCACCCACCAGCACCACCACCACUACCACCACCACACACACCAUACAGGAUACAUCAGAUCCACAGCCACAGCCACAGAUCACCCACCAAGAUCAGCCGGAUCAACUCACCCAAGCAGAGCCGGCAGGGAGACUACGCUUCAUUUGCAUUCGAGACAAAGUUAACAGGUACCACUGCGAUUCUCGCCCUCGUGGCCGUUUUGCGCUUGGCUCACUGCAGUACUGCAGCUGCAGUUCUGUGGGACAGUGCGGCACAGCAGAGGCUGUACGGCACUGUGCGGAGUGUGUGCGGGCGUGCAUGUGUUCAACUUGUAGUAAACCAGAUAGACCCGACUUUACGAGAUACGAGAUACGAAAAACUAGCCCCUGCUUUGUUGCGCUCUAUAGCCAAGGCUUCUCAGCUUCGAGCUUCAGCUGCACACGCAAACCAGCCAGUCAGCGGGUCAGCUAUCUAGCAGAGGAUCCAUGAUCCUUCCGACCUGCUGGGCUGCCCAGGAACUGCUGGGGCACUCAAUAAGCUAGUAUAUACACAUUUAGCGGGAGUUUGUAGGGUUAGUCUUAGUAGUUUUUAUCGUGCUUACAAUAACAACCCUGACGACGCAGCGGACACUUCGCUGGAGCAGUCGCGAUUCCCUUGGUUAAGCAUCUAGCUGACAGUAGCGUACACUAGGUUCGAGCUGCAUUUACGUGUCCGAUCCGAUACCAAAUACCCAAGCAGGAGUCGCACAGUUCAUCCGUGCAUCCGAAAUCCGAAUCCCCCGGAGUUUCUAGAUCCACAGAGCUGCCCGUUGUACUGUUGAACGAUAUAAGAUACGAGCGUGUGUGUGUUCCGUUUUGUGUAGGCCCGGUUUUACUACCUUGAGCUUUAUUUUAGAAAUACAAAAAAACAAGAAACAAGCAAAGCAAAGAUAUCAACUUUAGGAAAUCAAUUGAAUCACGACUGAAUUUAUGUGAACCUGCACUCAAAGGAAAUACAUACAUACAUGGAAAUUGAUAGUGAGGAGACACAUGUGAAAUGAAAAAUGUUUAACAAAAACCUAUCCGGCGACGUUUUGUACAGACAGGCAUGAUAUCUAUAAUAUGAUAAGUACAUGAAUGUAUAUAAUUUUAAAUAGUUACUAAUUUAUACACAAAAAAAGAAAACAAGCAAAUUGAUAAUGAUCCAGAACGUCGCCACCUACUCGUACCCAUUUUUGUAUCCAUUUUGACUUAUUUUACGUGCACGGCAUGUGCAGUGCCGAUUAUAUAGAGUAUAACUUAUGCUUACGAGGAUUAUUUCGACGGAGAACCUUUACACUAGCGAGUAGUAGAACCGCAGCGCCCGAGAAUGCCGGACGCUGUGUCCGGCACUUAGCAAUACAGAGAAAAGGCAACUGCAAGUUAAUACAGACACGGCAACAGAUACCGAUAGAGACGCAGAGGACCAGUCCCGCCCAGAUCGCAGCUGCAGCUGGCGCUGGACCGGAUCCCCGCCAUCCCUCGUCCAGGCUGCCUGGACAAUCCCUCACACAACAUGAAUAUAUAUGAAUAAACUUGGAACCCUUUUCUAAAAAACA